UACAGAGGUCUCAAGCGUUGUUCGGAUUCAUUGGGCGUAAAGGGUGCGUAGGCGGCUUUUUAAGUUUGGUGUGAAAUCUCCCGGCUCAACUGGGAGGGUGCGCCGAAUACUGAGAGGCUAGAGUGUGGGAGAGGAGAGUGGAAUUCCUGGUGUAGCGGUGAAAUGCGCAGAUAUCAGGAAGAACACCCGUGGCGAAGGCGGCUCUCUGGGACGGUACUGACGCUGAGACGCGAAAGCGUGGGGAGCGAACAGG
rnacentral:rRNA from 1 species